UGGCAAAUGUGUCCGUUUCUUUGUGAAAGCACAAACUGCCGUUUAGCGCGAAUCUGUGUUUAUAUUUUCAUUUAGAAUUAUCGGUUCUGUUAAUAAUGUUCGUGAAGGAAGAGGCUUAUUUUGCGCUUCUUUCUUUCUUCAUGAAGCUUGUUUCUCUUCCUAUAUCAAUGCACUUCCGCAACAUUCAUUCAAAAUUCAUAUAUAAAUCAACAUCAAUCAGUGUCCAAAAAGUGCCUCUACAAGUCCCACUGAGAAACACUAUGAUUUGAAACAAUAUUUACAUCAUUAAGAAGACUUCGUUAAUGGUAAAUAACAUCAAACAAGUGAAAUCCUACAUUUCUGCUAAACUUCAAGUUCAACAAGUGCUCACAAGAAGUGAAAUUAAUGAACCGGAGGUCUGGAUCUUUUGGGAAGGUCUUUUCCAGGAGAGCUGCUCCAGAAAGUGAAAACAGGAGCUCCUAAUGCAUGCACAGUUUUAAAACCAUGGACGGGCAGAUCUAGGGACAUCGGUGAUGAUGGGAAUUGGUUCUGUUUCUUCCUCUGACAGUUUUAUUUCUGAUACAUACCAGAGUCAUCAGUGUCACAGCAGCACAGGAGUCUCCAGACUCUUAUUAGAGGCCUCCAGAGACAUUCAAGUAUGGUACCUGUGGUAAGAAUUUGUUUAUAUUCUUUAACCAGGUGCCUCCAAAAUUAGCAAAACAGAGCAUAAAGAGGGUCAUACACUGGACAAGAAGCUCCACGUGUUUAAAAUUCAAAUACAUGUUUUCUCUGAGUUAACGCACAUGGGCGGCACCAUUCGACAACACUAGAGGCAGCUCAAAAUCCUGCUGCGCCACUCACAUAGUUUUCCAUUUAUGCAAUGUUUUUUAUAAACACUUUUUGUUAUACUGGUUGAAACUCUCUUCACAUCCUGAUAGCAAUCAGUGUUUAAUUUUAAAAGUAAUGCAUUACAAUAUUACGUUACUGCCUAAAAAAAAGUAACUAACUGCAUUAGUUAGUAUCGCAAAAUGUAAUGCAUACUUUUCAUAAAAAGUAACUUUUUCUCACCUGGGCUGGGCUUCCUUGUUUGUUCUUUAAUAACAACAAAAAAGUUCUAUUUAUGGCAAAUGUAAAGGC